UUUUUUUUUUCUUUUAAUGGCACAGAUGGUUCAUUCCAGACCUCAUCAUGAUGAUGUUGAAUUGAGUGAAUCUGUGUUUGAGAAUCCAACGGCUGAUCAACUUGAUGUAAACCUGAACUGAACUCGUCUGUGUAUGAAAAUCUUCCACAUAACAACAAGAGGCUAUAAUGUUUUGAACACAGCAAAUAAAUUACAGCCUUUAUGCAUCUCUUUGUGGGCGGAGCCCUGAAUGAUUGACAGGAGAGCCGUGAUGACACGUGACUGAAGUAAUUUGGUAUCAUUUUAUAGAUGGAUGGGCAAAAAUGGUAAAUGGUUAAUGAAUUGAUGUAAAAGUGUGUGAUCACCGAAGUGUGUUUUUCUUUAUGCUUUGUAUCACGUAUAAAGCUUACUUCAUUUAGAUUAUUAAUGUUUUUAACCUUAAAUAUUGUUUCAAAUAAAAUGCAGAAAAAAAAUGUUAGGAAGAAUAUGUUUUGCUUCGUUUGUCCUUGAUCUCUUAUCCUGUUUUUUUUAAGUCCUUCUUUUGCUGUUUUUAAUUUGUUGUAGUCACGCACACCUUUAAGGAGUAUCUUGUCAUUUCCUAUAAGAGCCACACUGUUCUUUUCAAGCCUAUAAGCAGUUAUUGAUGCCUUAAUGCUUCUUUGAUAUGGAUGAUGAGACCAUACAUGAAUUUAGCUUUCCUUUGUUUUCAGUUGACCUAAUGCCCUGCUAUAUAUGAGUUACAGCGAGCUCAAUAAACUUUGACUUUGAGUGAACAGCA